rnacentral:rRNA from 1 species
UGGGGAAUUUUGGACAAUGGGGGCAACCCUGAUCCAGCCAUCCCGCGUGUGCGAUGAAGGCCUUCGGGUUGUAAAGCACUUUUGGCAGGGAAGAAACAGCCUGGGAUAAUACCCCGGGCGACUGACGGUACCUGCAGAAUAAGCACCGGCUAACUACGUGCCAGCAGCCGCGGUAAUACGUAGGGUGCAAGCGUUAAUCGGAAUUACUGGGCGUAAAGCGUGCGCAGGCGGUUCGGAAAGAAAGGUGUGAAUCCAGGCUUAACCUUGGAACUGCACUUUAACUACCGAGCUAGAGUACGUCAGAGGGGGGUAGAAUUCCACGUGUAGCAGUGAAAUGCGUAGAGAUGUGGAGGAAUACCGAUGGCGAAGGCAGCCCCCUGGGAUGAUACUGACGCUCAUGCACGAAAGCGUGGGGAGCAAACAGGAUUAGAUACCCUGGUAGUCCACGCCCUAAACGAUGUCAACUAGCUGUUGGGGUUUAUUAACCUUAGUAGCGCAGCUAACGCGUGAAGUUGACCGCCUGGGGAGUACGG